rnacentral:rRNA from 1 species
CAAGUUUUUAAGGGCGCACGGUGGAUGCCUUGGCACCAGGAACCGAUGAAGGACGUGGGAGGCCACGAUAGUCCCCGGGGAGUCGUCAACCAGGCUUUGAUCCGGGGGUUUCCGAAUGGGGAAACCCGGCAGUCGUCAUGGGCUGUCACCCGCUGCUGAACACAUAGGCAGUGUGGAGGGAACGCGGGGAAGUGAAACAUCUCAGUACCCGCAGGAAGAGAAAACAACCGUGAUUCCGGGAGUAGUGGCGAGCGAAACCGGAUGAGGCCAAACCGUAUGUGUGUGAGACCCGGCAGGGGUUGCGCAUGCGGGGUUGUGGGAUCUCUCUUCUACGGUCUGCCGGCCGUGGGGCGAGUUAGAAACCGUUGAUGUAGGCGAAGGACAUGCGAAAGGUCCGGCGUAGAGGGUAAGACCCCCGUAGUCGAAAUGUCAGCNNNNNNNNNNNNNNNNNNNNNNNNNNGGCUUGCUUGAGAGACACCCAAGUAGCACGGGGCCCGAGAAAUCCCGUGUGAAUCUGGCGGGACCACCCGCUAAGCCUAAAUAUUCCCUGGUGACCGAUAGCGGAUAGUACCGUGAGGGAAUGGUGAAAAGUACCCCGGGAGGGGAGUGAAAUAGUACCUGAAACCGUGUGCCUACAAGCCGUGGGAGCGUCGGACAUCAGCUUGCUGGUGUCUCGUGACUGCGUGCCUUUUGAAGAAUGAGCCUGCGAGUUUGCGGUGUGUUGCGAGGUUAACCCGGGUGGGGUAGCCGUAGCGAAAGCGAGUCCGAACAGGGCGGUUCAGUAGCACGCUCAAGACCCGAAGCGGAGUGAUCUAGCCAUGGGCAGGUUGAAGCGGAGGUAAGACUUCGUGGAGGACCGAACCCACCAGGGUUGAAAACCUGGGGGAUGACCUGUGGUUAGGGGUGAAAGGCCAAUCAAACUCCGUGAUAGCUGGUUCUCCCCGAAAUGCAUUUAGGUGCAGCGUCGUGUGUUUCUUGCCGGAGGUAGAGCACUGGAUAGGCGAUGGGCCCUACCGGGUUACUGACCUUAGCCAAACUCCGAAUGCCGGUAAGUGAGAGCGCGGCAGUGAGACUGUGGGGGAUAAGCUCCAUGGUCGAGAGGGAAACAGCCCAGAGCAUCGACUAAGGCCCCUAAGCGUACGCUAAGUGGGAAAGGAUGUGGAGUCGCAGAGACAACCAGGAGGUUGGCUUAGAAGCAGCCACCCUUGAAAGAGUGCGUAAUAGCUCACUGGUCUAGUGAUUCCGCGCCGACAAUGUAGCGGGGCUCAAGCGUACCGCCGAAGUCGUGUCAUUGCAGCAGAAGCCCCAACGGGUGCUGUGAUGGGUAGGGGAGCGUCGUCUGCCGGGUGAAGCGGCACUGGAAGGUAGUCGUGGACGGUUGACGAGUGAGAAUGCAGGCAUGAGUAGCGAUUCACACGUGAGAAACGUGUGCGCCGAUUGACUAAGGGUUCCUGGGUCAAGCUGAUCUGCCCAGGGUAAGUCGGGACCUAAGGCGAGGCCGACAGGCGUAGUCGAUGGAUAACCGGUUGAUAUUCCGGUACCCGCUGUGAAGCGUCAAACAUCGAAUCCAGUGAUGCUAAGCCCGUGAAGCCGCCGGCUGAGUCUUCGGACGAGGUCGGAGUGGUGGAGCCGGUGACCCGAGCUGGUAGUAGGUGAGUGAUGGGGUGACGCAGGAAGGUAGUCCAUCCCGGGCGGUGGUUGUCCCGGGGUAAGGGUGUAGGACGGUGUGUAGGCAAAUCCGCACACCUUGUGUCUGAGACCUGAUGCCGAGCCGAUUGUGGUGAAGUGGAUGAUCCUAUGCUGUCGAGAAAAGCCUCUAGCG